GAUGAACGCUGGCGGCGUGCUUAACACAUGCAAGUCGAACGAUGAAGCCCAGCUUGCUGGGUGGAUUAGUGGCGAACGGGUGAGUAACACGUGAGUAACCUGCCCUUAACUCUGGGAUAAGCCUGGGAAACUGGGUCUAAUACCGGAUAGGAGCGUCCACCGCAUGGUGGGUGUUGGAAAGAUUUAUCGGUUUUGGAUGGACUCGCGGCCUAUCAGCUUGUUGGUGAGGUAAUGGCUCACCAAGGCGACGACGGGUAGCCGGCCUGAGAGGGUGACCGGCCACACUGGGACUGAGACACGGCCCAGACUCCUACGGGAGGCAGCAGUGGGGAAUAUUGCACAAUGGGCGCAAGCCUGAUGCAGCGACGCCGCGUGAGGGAUGACGGCCUUCGGGUUGUAAACCUCUUUCAGUAGGGAAGAAGCGAAAGUGACGGUACCUGCAGAAGAAGCACCGGCUAACUACGUGC
rnacentral:rRNA from 1 species